GACGAACGCUGGCGGCGUGCUUAACACAUGCAAGUCGAACGCGCCUGUCCUCUGGGUUUCUGGGGGGUGGGUGAGUGGCGAACGGGUGAGUAACACGUGAGUAACCUGCCCCCUUCUUCGGGAUAACGGUCUGAAAGGGCUGCUAAUACCGGGUAUUCACUGGUCUCCGCAUGGGGUCUGGUGGAAAGGUUUUUUUCUGGUGGGGGAUGGGCUCGCGGCCUAUCAGCUUGUUGGUGGGGUGAUGGCCCACCAAGGCUUUGACGGGUAGCCGGCCUGAGAGGGUGACCGGUCACAUUGGGACUGAGAUACGGCCCAGACUCCUACGGGAGGAAGCAGUGGGGAAGAUUGCACAAUGGGCGCAAGCCUGAUGCAGCGACGCCGCGUGAGGGAUGGAGGCCUUCGGGUUGUGAACCUCUUUCGCCCGUGGUCAAGCCGCGACGUGGGUCGUGGUGAGGGUAGUGGGUAAAGAAGCGCCGGCUAACUACGUG
rnacentral:rRNA from 1 species